AUUUUAUUUCUUGCUAAAAUAAAUUUUGAAUUAUUAAUAAAAUAUGAAAAAUAAUUUUUAAUAUUAAAUUAAAGUAACUUUAAGUGAAUAUAAAUUAUAUGGCUAAAGAGUAAAGUAUUGUAAAAGAAAGAAAUAAAUAUUAAAAAGUAAUAAAGUAGAAAUUUAUUUUUGUACCUUGUGUAUCAGGGAAAUUCUAUAUGUACUAAGUAAACAUUAGUAAUCUCGAAAUAAAAAUAGUUAACUUUAUAUAAUAGUUUUUGUAGUAAAAAAAUUUUUAAUAUAAGGAUAAAGGUGAAAUGCUAAUCGAGUUUUAUAAUAUCUAGUUUUCUAAGAAAUAAAUAUAAUUUAAUUUUUAUAUGUACAUAUUGUAAAAAUAAAGAGCAGGAGGGAUAAGCUUCUUGUUAUAAUAAAUAGUGAAAUAAAGUAAAUGUAAUCUAUCUAAGCUUAAAAAUAGCUAUGUUAAUAAAGUGUUUAAAUUAAGAUUAUUUUAUUUAAGAUUUUUAUAUUGCUUUUAUUUGUAAUAGAAAUUUAUUUAAAAUUUAGUUUUUUAAGGUAAUAUGAUUUUAUUAGUAGAAUACAUAUAUGUUAAAUAAUAUAUUAUAAUAGAAAAUAAAAUAUAAUAAUUUUUUGAUAGUAUAAAGGAAUUCAGCAAAUAUUUCUUUGCCUGUUUAUCAAAAACAUGUCUAUUUGGUGAUAUAAAUAGUCUGGCCUGCCCACUGAUUUAAGUAUUUAAGGGCCGCGGUAUUUUAACCGUGCAAAGGUAGCAUAAUCACUAGGUUUUUAAUUAGAAUCUUGUAUGAAUGGUUCGACAAAAGAAUUACUGUCUUUAUAUUAAUUUUGAAUUUAACUUUUAAGUGAAAAGGCUUAAAUAUAUUAAAGGGACGAUAAGACCCUAUAAAACUUUACAUUAUAAUUUUAUUUAAUUAAAUUUGUAAAUAAAAAUUUAAUUUAAUUAUAUGUUGUGUUGGGGAGACAAAGGUAAAAUGAAUUUUAACUGCUUUACAUUAAAACAUAUAUUUAUGGAGAUAUUAAAAGAUCCUUUAUAGAGAUUAAAAGAUUAAGUUACUUUAGGGAUAACAGCGUAAUUCUUUUUGAGAGCCCCUAUCGAAAAAAGAGUUUGCGACCUCGAUGUUGAAUUAAAAUAUCUUUAUAGUGCAGAGGCUAUAAGAGAAGGUCUGUUCGACCUUUAAAUUUUUACAUGAUUUGAGUUCAAACCGGUGUGAGCCAGGUUGGUUUCUAUCUUUUAAAUAAUAAUUAGUUAUUUUAGUACGAAAGGAGUAAAUAAUUAAAAUAUUUUUAUAUA
rnacentral:rRNA from 1 species